AAACUUACCACCGAAGCUACGGGCUUAAGUUAAACUUAAGCGGUAGAGGAGCGUCGUAAUCGGGCUGAAGUCGUACCGGAAGGAGCGGUGGACUGAUUACGAGUGAGAAUGUUGGCAUUAGUAGCGAGAUGUGAGUGAGAAUCUCACAGGCCGAAAACCUAAGGUUUCCUCAGGAAGGCUCGUCCGCUGAGGGUUAGUCGGGACCUAAGCCGAGGCCGAAAGGCGUAGGUGAUGGACAAUCGGUUGAUAUUCCGAUACCACUAUUAAUCGUUAAAACCGAAGGCGUAACGCAGGAGGAUAGGAUGUGCUAGCUAUUGGAUGCUAGUCUAAGCACUUAGGGAGUUCAGCAAGGCAAAUCCGGCUGAACAAUUCUGAGGUGUGAUGGGAAGGAACUACGGUUCCGAAGUAUCUGAUUCCACGCUGCCAAGAAAAGCGUCUAGGGAGAGAGGUAGUGCCGUACCGCAAACCGACACAGGUAGGUGAGGAGAGAAUCCUAAGGCCGGCGGAAGAAUCACAGUUAAGGAACUCGGCAAAUUGACCCCGUAACUUAGGGAGAAGGGGUGCCUACGCAAGUAGGCCGCAGAGAAUAGGCCCAAGCAACUGUUUAGCAAAAACACAGGUCUCUGCUAAAGCGAAAGCUGAUGUAUAGGGGCUGACGCCUGCCCGGUGCUGGAAGGUUAAGGGGAAUACUUAGCGCAAGCGAAGGUAUGAACUUAAGCCCCAGUAAACGGCGGCCGUAACUAUAACGGUCCUAAGGUAGCGAAAUUCCUUGUCAGGUAAGUUCUGACCCGCACGAAUGGCGUAAUGACUUGGGCACUGUCUCAACUGUGAAUCCGGCGAAGUUGUAGUACGAGUGAAGAUGCUCGUUACCCCGCGAUUGACGGAAAGACCCCGUAGAGCUUUACUGUAGCUUAGCAUUGAAUUUCGGUAUUGUCUGUACAGGAUAGGUGGGAGACUAGGAAGUCAGGGCGUCAGCCUUGAUGGAGUCAUCCUUGGGAUACCACCCUGACAGUACUGAGGUUCUAACUGGAUGCCAUGAAACUGGGUGACAGGACAUUGUUAGGUGGGCAGUUUGACUGGGGCGGUCGCCUCCUAAAAAGUAACGGAGGCGCCCAAAGGUUCCCUCAGAACGGUCGGAAAUCGUUCGAAGAGUGCAAAGGCAGAAGGGAGCCUGACUGCGACACCCACAAGUGGAGCAGGGACGAAAGUCGGGCUUAGUGAUCCGGUGGUACCUCGUGGGAGGGCCAUCGCUCAACGGAUAAAAGCUACCUCGGGGAUAACAGGCUGAUCUCCCCCAAGAGUCCACAUCGACGGGGAGGUUUGGCACCUCGAUGUCGGCUCGUCGCAUCCUGGGGCUGAAGUAGGUCCCAAGGGUUGGGCUGUUCGCCCAUUAAAGCGGCACGCGAGCUGGGUUCAGAACGUCGUGAGACAGUUCGGUCCCUAUCCGUCGCGGGCGUAGGAAAUUUGAGAGGAGCUGUCCUUAGUACGAGAGGACCGGGAUGGACUGACCUCUGGUGUACCAGUUGUUCCGCCAGGAGCACAGCUGGGUAGCUAUGUCGGGAAGAGAUAAACGCUGAAAGCAUCUAAGCGUGAAGCUCACCUCAAGAUUAGAUUUCCCAUAGCGUAAGCUAGUAAGAUCCCUUGAAGAACACAAGGUUGAUAGGUCAGAGAUGUAAGCAUGGUAACAUGUUCAGUUGACUGAUACUAAUAGAUCGAGGGCUUGACCAA
rnacentral:rRNA from 1 species